rnacentral:rRNA from 1 species
CUCCGGUUGAUCCUGCCGGACCCGACUGCUAUCAGAGUGGGACUAAGCCAUGCGAGUCAACAUAGCAAUAUGUGGCAUACGGCUCAGUAACACGUAGUCAACAUGCCCAGGGGACGUGGAUAACCUCGGGAAACUGAGGAUAAACCGCGAUAGGUCAUCACUUCUGGAAUGGGUAAUGACUUAAAUCUAUAUGGCCCCUGGAUUGGACUGCGGCCGAUCAGGCUGUUGGUGAGGUAAUGGCCCACCAAACCUGUAACCGGUACGGGCUCUGAGAGGAGGAGCCCGGAGAUGGGCACUGAGACAAGGGCCCAGGCCCUAUGGGGCGCAGCAGGCGCGAAACCUCUGCAAUAGGCGAAAGCUUGACAGGGUUACUCUGAGUGAUUUCCGUUAAGGAGAUCUUUUGGCACCUCUAAAAAUGGUGCAGAAUAAGGGGUGGGCAAGUCUGGUGUCAGCCGCCGCGGUAAUACCAGCACCCCGAGUGGUCGGGACGUUUAUUGGGCCUAAAGCAUCCGUAGCCGGUUCUACAAGUCUUCCGUUAAAUCCACCUGCUUAACAGAUGGGCUGCGGAAGAUACUAUAGAGCUAGGAGGCGGGAGAGGCAAGCGGUACUCGAUGGGUAGGGGUAAAAUCCGUUGAUCCAUUGAAGACCACCAGUGGCGAAGGCGGCUUGCCAGAACGCGCUCGACGGUGAGGGAUGAAAGCUGGGGGAGCAAACCGGAUUAGAUACCCGGGUAGUCCCAGCUGUAAACGAUGCAGACUCGGUGAUGAGUUGGCUUAUUGCUAACUCAGUGCCGCAGGGAAGCCGUUAAGUUUGCCGCCUGGGGAGUACGGUCGCAAGACUGAAACUUAAAGGAAUGGCGGGGGAGCA